GGCGACUUAGCCAAGCGGUCUAAGGCGCCAGACUAGGGUUUUAAGCUGAUAUCUGGUUCUUCGGAGUGCGAGUUCGAAUCUCGCAGUCGUCA